rnacentral:tRNA from 1 species
GCCGGGGUGGCGGAACCUGGUAUCGCGCAUGCCUGGAAAGCAUGUGCCCGCAAGGGCUUAUGGGUUCGGGCCCUUCUUUCUUUUCAAAAAAGAAAGAAGCCCCGGGGUAAGAAAGAAAACAAGUUUCCCGGGAUUUGAAAACAAGAAAGGAAGGCCGCUCAAAAAUCCCAUCCCCGGCG